UGUUGUUAAGCUUUUAAAAAUAUUAAAAUACUAUCUUUCAUUUGUAAUGGUAACAUUUACAUUGAGAACAUCUCACUGAACGAUUUUUGCUCAAGAAGUCAUAACAUCCUUUCAGUCUAAGCUGUUAACAGUCAAAAGUUCCGAGACGUUUCUGUCUUUUGAAAAUACUGAUUUGUGGUACUGCAAGCAACUGCUUCCUACAGAAAGCGAUUUCAUUUUAGCCUUACAACCAGUCACCAUUCCACUUACAUGAUGAAACCUUUCUCGUGACUGUUUUGCUCAUUAACUUCUGGCUCUCUGUUUUCUGCAGUGGUGCUUGCCUAAUUUUUGAGUGUAUAAAUCAAAGCUACUUCUUAAGAAGUAGAUCUUAGUAAUUUAUACACUAUAUAGUUGUUAAUUUUGUAUCAUGUUUUACUGUUUCUGUAUAUUUUGGGGGUAAGAAUCGUGGUGCAAGCACAUCUUUGCUGAAGCCCUUUGCUCUAGGAAAUGUCUCAGAUACUGUGCACUGUUUUGUUUACACAUCGAAAUUCCAAUCCGACUCCCUAAUUUAUUUGAGUAAACUGAUUAAAAUCCGUUAUUGUUCUCUUGAUAUCCUUAAACCUUUGUUAUAAUUUGUAUUUCCUGCACAAUUGGAUCUCUGACUCAUGUGUCAUGUACUUCAAUUAAAGGUUGUGUUCAGAAGUUCACUAUGUUUUUCUUUCUGGUGCAUUUCAUGCUGUCUCUGUAGAAAUAUCCUUCGGAGCAGCUUUUACCACCUUUUGCCAUCUUGGAGAUCCCUUUCUUUUGCUUCACUUACAAACAUUCCGUGUGUUGGGCAGAGCUUUGUCUUAGCACUUCUACGUAUAACAUCACAAGCCACUUAAACCCCAUGAAGCAGAUGAGAAAAGAAGCUGAGUUUUGUCCAGUGGGUGCAGGAGGUGCAGUCUCUGGGUGUGCUUCCAAGCAGUGCCACCGAAGCAAUGAAGCACAAGGGUGCUGCAGUUGUGCUGAAUGUCUCCUUGUGCUCCCAUCUUGCUUAGAGUUGACAGGUAGCUUUCAGCUUUCCUGAGCUUUUGGGAUGAGAUUCUCCCAGUCCUUUCUGUUGUGUCUCCAGCUGUUAGGUUCGUGCCUCUGAAGUAGAAAUGUCAUGUCUUGUAGCAUAGCCAUCAGUUUGCCCCCAUGUUGCAUCUGAAGCGUGACUCAUAUUAAUACUUCAUUCAUUAUAUGGCAUUUCUUUUUUUUUUUAAUAGGUUCUCAAAAUAAAAUAAGCUGAAUUUCAUUUAAAACCAGUCUUAUUAAAGAAUAUAUUCUGGUCCUAACACUAGGUUCCCCAGAUACUCUGUAAUUAGCAUUCUUUAAGUACCCAGAAUAGGACUGGGCAUCGGGCUGUUAGUUUAAUGAUUUAUUGAUUAAUAAUUUUUGUAUUCUGAUGAGAGGGAACAUUUUCUGAACUGCUGUUGGUCAGCAUAAUUCUGCAAAAAGAUAAGAAUAUUCUUUUGGUACUACUUGUGUUUGCUCCUUAACCCUUGUGUUUCACUGUCCAACAGCACGCAGUCCAUCACCUUUUGGCAUGCAUAGCUUUUGGGUUAUAGAACUCUGGGUUGGCCCUAUGAAAAGGUGAAUUCUAACAGAACGUUGAAUUGAGAGCAAAAUGUAAAUGCUUUUGUGCAUUUUUCUGAUAUUUUAGGAAAGGAAGAAGGCAGAAAAGGAUGAUGGGAAGACCUGUAGCAAUACAAAACUCCAACUGAUCUAACUAUUAAAAAAAAAAAACAUGCUUUUUCCUCCCAUUUUUUUUUUUUUCCUCCUUGCGUUAAUGAAGUGUGCAGUAGUCUCUUUGUAUAGGCUUGUGGAUGAGGGACAAGAAAUUGCUGUUGACCUAAAGCAACAUGUAGUGGUGUGGAGUAUAAUCUGACAACUACUUACCAUGCAUGCUUAUUUCUCCAGGUAGUUCUCUGCAAUUUAUGACUGAAAACAUGAAAGUCAGAGUGGUUCAGUAGAUUGCCAUGAGCUAUCUUCAUGAUUUAGAGGUCUCUGCUGUUCGUAGACUCAUAGAAUCAUAGAAUGGCUUGAGUUGGAACAAAUGUAAAGCUAAGCUUAGGUAUCUGAUGGCAGAAUCCCUCCUGCCUGGGCACUUGCACAAUUCAACAGAUGAAAACAGCAUAUUAACAGUUCAAAUUGUUAUAUUUCAAUACCAACUCAUAGGACUUAGUCCCAAAGUAUUGUGUGGUUGUAAGAGGUGAUGCACUGUGUCACACCUUUCCUGUGUAUCUUUUCAGUGGUGUGAGUACUUACUGGUAUAGUGUGGUAAAUGGCCAAAAUGCCUCCAUAUCCUUUUCUCUGCAAUGCAUGUUGUGCUCAUAGUGCAUGCUAUGCUCAUAAGUCACCAGGACCGUGAACACAAAUGUAUAGCUGGCCUUUUUUGCAAAACCUCGUUGAAAGUGGUGCUGGAUUCAAGGCUUGGUGUGGCCUGAUUACAGCCAAUUGCUCUCUCUUUGUCUGAUUGCUUUAAAACUAAGCUGGGAAUUUUUGCUCCAAAAAGAAAUGAAACUCCUCCUUUCACUAGGCUCCUCAAAAAGCAUGAUUGGGUGUGGCUUUUUUUUAUAGCUUUAACUUUGAUUUUUUUUCAUUAACAGCAGUUCUGUUUGUUGCAGAAUUUAAUCCAACGUAUUGCCAAAGGCAGCAGUACGUUCUUGCCUAGGUUUUCCUCCUGCUUUGGCCCUUAUCCUUCCCCUUGCCGAGCAGCUGCUCUGUGGCAGGUAGGAGCGUUCCAGGCCGGUUGUUGGGCACAAGGCACGGCGUUGCCCUGGCUGCUGCCCGGCAGCAGGAGCUGCAGGUUGCUGCCCGCCCGGUGCAGGCGGCAGGCAGGCAGGCAGCGGCGCAGCGCUCGGCACUAUUAAUAUGCACAGCGUGGCGGCUUUCGGGGAAGGUUAUUAGGAUGCGGGUUCGUAUCCUCCAGUGAAUGAAAUGAUGUGUGAUUAUGAAGUCAUCAGGCAUGGACCAGUAAGGCUCGGGAGAACCCCCCCAGGUCCUCGGGGUGCCAUUGAUUGGUGACCAUGUGUUUGUGCCCGAUAGACUGUGAAAUGGUGUGUUGCUCCACGGCUGUGCUGCACCUGCGCCCCACCGAGCCAACGCUGGCAGGAGCUGGAGCAGGCGGUCGCAAAAGGCAGCCGAGCCUUUGCCUUUGGAACAAAGUGGUGCUGCUGCAAGUCCUCGUGUUCCUUUCAUUUCUGCUAAAAGACCAGAUAGGUCGUCCUGUGCUUGUGAGGGGGAAACAAACAAACAAGCGAACAAAAAAACCACCCCAAAAAAGCCUACAAAAGAAUGCAAAGAAGCCGAGGGCGUCCCAGCCCCCCAAACCUGUCUGCUACGCACAGUUCUUGCUGCUUUACACAAGCACUGCAGUAUUGUAAUUAGAUUACCAAAGUAGCAGUGCAUGUGGAAGAUCUUAUUUAACCUCAGAAAAGUAGUGGUUUAUUUAUUGAAAACUACUGAUGUUGCACUUUAAAUGCCAAGAAAUUAUUUUAGUUCCUUAAAAAAAAAAAAUUCUAUAGUUACAUUGGGCGGUCUUGUUUGAUAUUUCUUAAUCUCACUCCUUUUUCAUAAUUGAUCUAUUCAUUCCACUUAAUGACUAAUUACAUAUCAGAGCACAUCAUCAGCAGCAUUCAUCAUUGUAGAAUGUAAUAAUCAAUGACAUUUCAACAAAGGAAAAAAUAAAUAUGCAAAUAAGGACUCAUUAACAUUUGCAUGAGCUGUUUGAAUAAUCACGUUGCUGACAAGGCUGUAAUUAACAGAAAUUGAUGCUGAGUUCAGUAUUUGAUAGUGUGUUUUCUCAGCGUUUUAUUGUUGUCACUGCGGGGGCUGGAAUGAAGUUCUGCUCUGCUUGUACCUUGACUUGGGCUUGAUGUGAUGGGCUGUGCCAGGUAGCAGAGGCUUCUGGGAGUCCCCAGUUCAGCUCUGACCUACGCUUAAUGCAGAGAGAGAGAUUUCAGUUAAAUGGCUGUAUUGUUAGUGAAGGAUUGUUGAAUCCGUAGUAAUUAUGCAGCAGCUGAAGGGAGAUUUUUUUCUCCAAAGUCAGGAAAACUAAAAAUGAUUUAAAAAAAAAAAAAACCAAACAACUGAGACUCUUUUACAUGAGUCAGGCACUUUGAAACUAUAGGAUUUCUUACUUGUUCUGAAAAUCAGGCAUUGAGGUAGGGUUAUGUUUUCUUAUUUCAUUUGUCACUCUGGUACAGCGUAUCAAUGUCGGGAGACUUGAGCUUUAUUGUAAUUGAAAAUCACUUGCUAAGGAAAACGUUGUGUAAUUAUGAAACGUUACGGGCUCCCUCCCUCCCCUCUGAUUAUUGCAACUUUACUCCCCCUUCCCUCUUUUUCCUGAAGCUUCCUCUUUUUGUCAUGGAUAUCAGCUGAAAUGCACAAAACACAAUAAAGCUGUUUAUGUCAGUUUUUUUGGAUGACUGUAAGUGCUGAUUAUAACAAGUUUAAGGAAUUUCCUUUGUUGAGUGUGUACCCACGCCAUAUGGCUCAACAUGGAACAUUAACUUGACAGGGAUAAUGGAUUGUGGUAUAUGGAGACAAUUUUGCCUGCAGCUUCACUAUAACUCAUUCUGGUUGGGGAUCACAAGUUUAUAAUAUAGGAUGCAGCAAACAUCCAGAUGGAUUUGCUUUACAUAAAAGAGUUGCAGUUCUUUUUAUUUCCUGCUUGUAAUUGGGGAAGAAAGGGACUUAAAAAUUAAAUAAAAAAAAAAAAAA